AUCACUUUGGGAUGGACCCGCGCCGUAUUAGUUAGUUGGUGAGAUAAAAGCCCACCAAGACGAUGAUACGUAGCCGACCUGAGAGGGUAAUCGGCCACAUUGGGACUGAGACACGGCCCAGACUCCUACGGGAGGCAGCAGUAGGGAAUCUUCCACAAUGGACGAAAGUCUGAUGGAGCAACGCCGCGUGAGUGAUGAAGGUUUUCGGAUCGUAAAACUCUGUUGUUAAAGAAGAACAAGUGUUAGAGUAACUGUUAACACUUUGACGGUAUUUAACCAGAAAGCCACGGC
rnacentral:rRNA from 1 species